UUUUCCUUAUUCUUCUUCUUCUUCUUCUUCUUCUUCUUCUUCUUCUUCUUAUUCUUCUUCUCCUUCCCUUCCUUUUCCUUCUUCUUCUUCUUCUUUCUUCUCCUUCCCUUCCUUUUCCUUUUAACCCCCCCUGUUCGUGCGCCACCACAACAUAAGCCCCCCUGUUUGCCUAGCUCCCUUUUAACCCCCCAGUUGUGCUAACGAUGUUGCUAAUGGCCCCCUUUG
rnacentral:lncRNA from 1 species